GACAGAGGGUGCAAACGUUGCUCGGAAUCACUGGGCGUAAAGGGCGUGUAGGCGGGAAGGAAAGUCAGAUGUGAAAUCCCUGGGCUCAACCCAGGAACUGCGUCCGAUACUGGUUGGCUUGAAUCCGGGAGAGGGAUGUGGAAUUCCAGGUGUAGCGGUGAAAUGCGCAGAUAUCAGGAGGAACACCGAUGGCGAAGGCAGGUCUCUGGGCCGAUACUGACGCUGAGGAGCGAAAGCGUGGGGAGCGAACAAG
rnacentral:rRNA from 1 species